rnacentral:rRNA from 1 species
CGCUAGCGGCAGGCUUAACACAUGCAAGUCGAGGGGCAGCGCUGGGUAGCAAUACCCUGGCGGCGACCGGCGCACGGGUGCGUAACGCGUAUGCAACCUGCCCGCGACAGGGGGAUAACGCAGAGAAAUCUAGCACUAAUACCCCCGUACGCCCUGUUUUCCGCAUGGGAUUCGGGGGAUAGCUUCGGUGGUCGCGGAUGGGCAUGCGUGACAUUAGGUAGUUGGCGGGGCAACGGCCCACCAAGCCGACGAUGUCUAGGGGGGCUGAGAGGCUGGACCCCCACACUGGUACUGAGACACGGACCAGACUCCUACGGGAGGCAGCAGUGAGGAAUAUUGGUCAAUGGGCGGAAGCCUGAACCAGCCAUUCGCCGCGUGGGGGAAGAAGGCCCUAAGGGUUGUAAACCUCUUUUAGCCGGGAGUAAUAAGGGCGGUGCGCCGUCCGAUGAGAGUACCGGCGGAAUAAGCAUCGGCUAACUCCGUGCCAGCAGCAGC